AUUCGCAGGAAGGGAGGCUAGUUCGAUUCGACAGAACAGGAAAGAUCAAGAGAGAUGGACAAGGAGUGGAAACGUCGUGAAACAGAAAGAGAGGACAUAAAGGAAAUAGGUGCAAGAGAGAUAAAUAAGUAGUGUCAAAGAAAACGCAGUUGGGGGUCUUUCGUUGAAUGCAGCACUCCUGACCUCAAUAUGUGGCCCCAAUAAUGAACGUAGACUUGAAGGUUUUAUUUAUUCUACGAGAAUCAAAACGCUGUUUCUAUGUUUCCAAGCAAAGAAAUUCGAACAAAUUCUUUAUUUAUUUA